GUGAAUCAUCGAAUCUUUGAACGCAUAUUGCACUCUCUGGUAUUCCGGAGAGUAUGCCUGUUUGAGGGUCAGUAAAAUAAAAAUCUGGGUUUUUGCGGCCGGUUGUGGUGACUCUUCGGAAUUGCGGCGUCUUUACCUUUCGGUUAAGUGUCUUAAAAUUUUUGAAUGAUAUCUGAACGUAUUUAAAUUUAUUUGGGACGUCUUGUAGUAUCGAUGGUUUAUUGGAAGUGUUGAUCCGCAUGACUCGCGUGUAUAAUUUUUCAUCUAAUGAUCUCAGAU
rnacentral:misc_RNA from 1 species